AAUUUUUAUAUCAGUAUUUUCGUUAUUAAGCAUACUUAAACAUGUUUGCUCAAUUUGGCCAUAGAAUUUUGCUACCAAUUCACCUUGCCUUUCCAUAGUCUGAUAAAUAGCUUGGCCGAUCAAAAGUGUUUCAUCUACGGUAAAUUUAUUUGUGUUCGUAUACUCUUUAAGUAAACGAAUCAAUGAAUCAUCAUACUUAUCACACAGAGAAACCACUGCAGAUAUGACAUUCAAAUGCACGUAGCUAUUUUCAUCACGUAACAAGUUUAUUAAAACGUGCAAAACACGAACUGGAUUAAUACGAUCAUCUUUCUUCUCUAUUAGCUUCCUUAACAUAUAAACUCCUUGUCCUCUCACUGGCACCAAGUCACUUUGAGUAUA